AUGCGUUAGGCUGACGCAGCUCACGGCGCGUGGGAACUCCGGUGAGAGUCCGGGGCUGGCGCGCAGCGGUGUGGGUGACGAGCGGAUCGUCGGUUCCACUGGGUCGAGGGAAAAGAAGGCCCGGGAAGGAGAUCCGCGAGGACGAACCCGAGCCCGAAGACCCGGCCGUGAUCUGGCAUCUCG
rnacentral:ncRNA from 2 species